AACGUAGGGGGCCAGCGUUGCUCGGAAUUACUGGGCGUAAAGGGUCUGUAGGCGGUGCGGCAAGUCGGAAGUGAAAUCGCAGGGCUUAACUCUGCGGCUGCUUCCGAAACUGCCGUGCUCGAGUGUGAGAUAGGCGAGUGGAAUUGCAGGUGUAGCGGUGAAAUGCGUAGAUAUCUGCAGGAACAUCCGAGGCGAAAGCGGCUCGCUGGAUCACAACUGACGCUGAGAGACGAAAGCGUGGGGAGCGAACGGG
rnacentral:rRNA from 1 species